AGUUUGAGUCAACUCCGGGAGUUGGUGAUGGACAGGGAGGCCUGGCGUGCUGCGAUUCAUGGGGUCGCAAAGAGUCGGACAUGACUGAGCGACUGAACUGAACUGAACUGAGACUUAAAAGAAGCCUGAAAAGCCAUAAGGUUGCCCUCAUCUUAAUUAAGAGAAAAGUGGGCAGGAAGCAGAACUGGAAGAUGCUGGAAUGAAUUCAAACCUGAUGUAAAGCCGUCUGCUUGCAUUAACAAGUUCUGCAGUGUUGCUGGCCAAUUCGAGGGUCUUGGGGAUGUCUGUCCAUGAACUCUUAGCCUAUCUUCAAGUCUCCAUACACCAGCAGAUGUCAGACUUCUUUCCAAAAGAAUCCUCACCCCUUCUCUCCAUCCCACCUCCCUGCCUAGAGGAAAGGAAGUGGACAAUCUGAUAAGUUAAAAUUUAUCUUCAAGGACUUUUACUACCUAGUGGUAGCUGCCUAUGAAAAUGCCAAUCUCCACUUGUAUUUCAACUUUAAUUCAACUUUGUCCUCUGUGGCUGGCUUUAUCUGGAAAGGGAAUGGUUCAUCUUGGUAAUUGCUUGAAUCUGCCCUUUGGAACUCAGGGAAGAUCUAGAAGGCAGAAACCUUUUUCCUACAAAUGAGAAAUGGAGGAACAUGGAAGAGCUUUUGUACUCAGGAGGGCUCGGCACUGUCCUGCUCAGUUUUUAGACCAUCCUACUUAUCCCAUAAGCACUCCAAUCCUUCUGCCUUCAGGGAGGCAGAUCUGAGACUUGUUCUCCCAUCUCUUCACUUGGCUGUCUUGUGUAUAAACUUUCUUUGACUGUAAACCUUGGCGUUUCAGUAUUUGGCUUGCUGCACAUUGGGCAAAUGGACCUGAUUCAGUAACACUAACUGUGCUAGCACCUUGAUUUUGGUUUUCCAGCCUCCAGAACUGUUGAGAAAAUGAAUUUGUUGUUUAAGCCACCCAGUCCAUGGUAUAUUGUCAUGGCAGCUCUAGCAGACUUGAUACACACCUCCAACAUGCUUGUACUAUGUGACAACCACUGCUGGAGAUGAUGUCCUGAGGUCGGACAUUUUGGCUUAGUGGUUCCCAAUGUUUGGGCCCCAAAUUUCUGACAACUAUGGAGCUGGUUACAACCAAGAACCCUUGUGCUAUUGCAUAGCAUGCAAAAUAAAGUCUCAUACAUACUUGUCUAUUUCUCCACUCCAAGUGUGCUAUCAUUUAUCAUAUUUAUCAUUUAUUACAUUAUCAUAAUAAAUAUCAUACAUUUAUCAUUUAUCAUAUUAACAAAGUACAUAUUAAUUCAAAUGU